GUGAACGCGCAUUGAACCUAAAGCGGAAAACCUGGUUCAACUAAUUUGAUCUAAAGUGAGCGUCGUGGUACAAUUUAACUGUGAUUGCGAGUUGCGGCUCUGUCGAGCCAGGUUUUCCCAAGAAAGCCUGGGUAUGUUCAACGAGGUUCGUGGUAUACCCCCCAGGUCUUACUGAAGGCAUUUAUUUAAUGGUGAAAAUAUUAUUAUCAGUGGCGUAAAUAUCGACUGCCCGGGGGCCCAGACGCUGUCCCCCCCUCUCAACAACUCACAACUUGGUCUGGAGCCCUGGAGUAUCACUUUAUGUUCAAUAAACAGACAGAAAGUAAACUUGAAUGAGUCUCAUUGAGUGACACACAUGCUAUGCUUGGGUUGUAAUACAGCGGGAUCCCCCCCACCAUUGCGGGUUUAAGGUCUUAAAUUUCAUUCAAGGUGGUAUUAAAAAGGUCUUAAAAAGUCUUAAAUUUGACUUGCUGAAACCUGC
ensembl:lncRNA